rnacentral:lncRNA from 1 species
GGGGCUUAGGGGAGUGCUGGAAUGCGCUUGUGGAGCUGAAAUCAUGUUCAAAUGAAGUGGUUCUGUUUUUCCUCAACGGGCAGGCUGAUAUUGGGACUGACUGUUGCAAAGCCAUUGCCACAAUCACGCACCACUGCUGGCCUGCCAUGCUGACGUCGCUUGGCUUCACGGCGGAGGAGGGUAACAUUUUGCGAGGCCACUGUGAUGCCGCUUCCGCUGCUGGUUCUACUGAUAAUGCUUCUUCCUCCGCCCCGGCUUCGCCUCCAAGUGCAGCUGCUUCCUCCGCCGCUACCCCAGCCAUUUAAUGCCACUCUUAAUUAUCUAUCUUGGUUUCAUAUAUAUUUAGACUUCAGUUUACUGAAUAAAUAUAUUAUGGUAGAAAGUUAAUUGGGUUUUCUUAGAUACUCGAGGUGUUAUGGUGUCUGCUGCUGUUGGUUAAUAAAUAUAGAAGCUAUGCUUAAUUCUU